UGCACACCUCAGUUGUACGCGCAGGGAGCUCCGCAGAAGCACACAACCGCGAGGAUGAGCUCGAGUGUCUGUGAUGCGCCGCAGGCGACCACGUGCUCCACCGCUACACCAGAGCACCCCGCUGUGGAACUUCAGCCAGCCCUUCGCCAGCGUACCAUCACCUUCUGCUUCCCUGGCCCCAGCUCGGUAUCGUCCACAGGAGCGGCGGCGGCAGCGGAGGUCGCGGACGACGGCAAUGAUGAGAGCAUCCGUGUGGUGCUGCACCUGUCGGUCCGCUGCUUCGUCGAUUACGUGCUUCUCUUCGUGACGGAGGAGCAGACGUGUGCGCCCGGUGUUCUUCUCCGCUACGACGCGCCGGCUAUCGGGCCCGGCGCUUUCAUGUAUGAUGAUGAGACGCCGUCACUCGACUUCGCGGUUCUGCUCGGCCUCCGUGACCACCCGCUGACGAACCUUCUCGCGAGCGCUAUAGCCCACCGCAUCCGUCGCUACGGCGAGACAAGACCGCUGCUGAUGGGGCUCAGCGUCGUGCAAACGGCGAAGAAGCUGACCAGCAGCCACGCCAAGAAGCUUUUUCUUGACGGCGCAGCGUCGAACCUGCUCGAACUGGCGUGGGAGGUACAGUCGCCAUCAAAGUGAAGCGGGUGGCCGAGAAGGAGUGUUACUCACUCGCUCUUACGCUGCUGUGCAAGAAUGCACGCCCCCCGGCUACGGGGCACCUCGCUCAGCGCCGCGGGCCGUGAGCUGCACAUGCAGCGGAAGGGAAAGAGCUGAGAGGCAGGCAGGCAGAGACUGUAUGUGGUGUGUAUCUCUCCUCUCUAAAACAACAAUGAUAACAGCACACACGCGCAUUUUCGUGGAACGACGUGAGAGCGCGAGUACGUCGAUCUCGAUGGGAAGAAAGCGCUGGAAGAGAUCCACCGUCGCGUCUUGCAAGG
rnacentral:misc_RNA from 1 species